rnacentral:hammerhead_ribozyme from 10 species
ACUUGGUUGGGAGCUGUUGUCGGCUUCUCUGAUGAGCCCAUGGCAGGGCGAAACCAGUG